GGGCGCUGGAGAACUGAGGGGGGCUGCUCCUAGUACGAGAGGACCGGAGUGGACGCAUCACUGGUGUUCGGGUUGUCAUGCCAAUGGCACUGCCCGGUAGCUAAAUGCGGAAGAGAUAAGUGCUGAAAGCAUCUAAGCACGAAACUUGCCCCGAGAUGAGUUCUCCCUGACUCCUUGAGAGUCCUGAAGGAACGUUGAAGACGACGACGUUGAUAGGCCGGGUGUGUAAGCGCAGCGAUGCGUUGAGCUAACCGGUACUAAUGAACCGUGAGGCUUAACCUUACAACGCCGAAGCUGUU
rnacentral:rRNA from 1 species